rnacentral:rRNA from 1 species
AUUGAACGCUGGCGGCAGGCUUAACACGUGCAAGUCGAGCGGAGCGAGGGUGCUUGCACCUUAGCUUAGCGGCGGACGGGUGAGUAAUGCUUAGGAAUCUGCCUAUUAGUGGGGGACAACAUUCCGAAAGGGAUGCUAAUACCGCAUACGCCCUACGGGGGAAAGCAGGGGAUCUUCGGACCUUGCGCUAAUAGAUGAGCCUAGGUCGGAUUAGCUAGUUGGUGGGGUAAAGGCCUACCAAGGCGACGAUCUGUAGCGGGUCUGAGAGGAUGAUCCGCCACACUGGGACUGAGACACGGCCCAGACUCCUACGGGAGGCAGCAGUGGGGAAUAUUGGACAAUGGGCGGAAGCCUGAUCCAGCCAUGCCGCGUGUGUGAAGAAGGCCUUUUGGUUGUAAAGCACUUUAAGCGAGGAGGAGGCUACUAGUAUUAAUACUACUGGAUAGUGGACGUUACUCGCAGAAUAAGCACCGGCUAACUCUGUGCCAGCCGCCGCCGUAAUAC